rnacentral:rRNA from 1 species
UACGUAGGGUGCGAGCGUUGUCCGGAAUUAUUGGGCGUAAAGAGCUCGUAGGCGGUUUGUCACGUCUGCUGUGAAAUCCCGAGGCUCAACCUCGGGCCUGCAGUGGGUACGGGCAGACUGGAGUGCGGUAGGGGAGAAUGGAAUUCCUGGUGUAGCGGUGGAAUGCGCAGAUAUCAGGAGGAACACCGAUGGCGAAGGCAGUUCUCUGGGCCGUAACUGACGCUGAGGAGCGAAAGCGUGGGGAGUGAACAGG